CUGGGGGAAGAUUGUGAGAGGAGCAGUUUGGUAGGAGGAAUAUUAAAUGUCUGAUUUAGGGUGUGUUAAGUUCGUGAUGCCUUUUGGAGUCAAGUGGAGACGUAGAGUAGGAAUUUGUAUACAAGUAGGGUGUAAGGAAGAGGAUGGGCCUGGAAAUAUAAUUUUGGAAAUUAUCACUAUAUAUAAAUGACAUUUAAAGCUUCGAGGCUAGGUGGACAAAGAAAUAUAAAUAGUAUUUAAAGCCGUGGGACUAAAUGCCCCAAGGAAGCGAGUGUAGGUAGGGAAGAGGAGAGGUCUGGUUACCGAGCCCUUUGCCAGUUUCAUAUUUAGAGGUCUGGAACAGGAGCAUCCAGGAAGGCGGAAUGAAGAAGCAGCUCGGCAAGUGCGGCUUGCAGGAUCUUAGCUCCCCGAUUGAGGAUCAAACCUGUACCCUCGGGCAGUGAAAGCGCGGAGUCCUAACCACUGGACCACCAGGGAAUUCCCAAAACCUGAGAUUAAGAAAAUGAACCCCGGGCUUCCCUGGUGGGUUCGAGCCCUGGGCCGGGAAGAUCCCACAUGCCACGGAGCAACUAAGCCAGUGAGCCACAACUACUGAAGCCCGUGUGCCACAACUACUUAAGACCACGCGCCUAGAGCCCAUGCUCUGCAACAAGAGAAGCCACCACAAUGAGAAGCCUGCGCACCGCAACUAAGAGUAGCCCUCGCUUGCCGCAACUAGAGAAAGCCCGUGAGCAGCAAUGAAAACCCAACGCAGCCAAAAAAAAAAAUUAAAAAACCCCCCAAAAAACCAAAAAACAAAACAAACAAACAAAAAGAAAAUAAACCCCAUUUACCACCAAAAGCAAGGGUAACAAAAGCAAAAAUAAACAAGUGGGAUUAUAUCAAACUAAAAAGCUUCUGCACAGCAAAGGAAACCAUCAACAAAAUGAA